UGAGUGGUAUGUGCACUUAUUACUACCAGU
rnacentral:piRNA from 1 species